rnacentral:rRNA from 1 species
UACGGAGGGUGCAAGCGUUAAUCGGAAUUACUGGGCGUAAAGCGUGCGCAGGCGGUUUGUUAAGUCCGUUGUGAAAGCCCCGAGCUCAACUUGGGAAUUGCAGUGGAUACUGGCAGGCUGGAGUACGGUAGAGGAAGGUGGAAUUCCCGGUGUAGCAGUGAAAUGCGUAGAGAUCGGGAGGAACAUCUGUGGCGAAGGCGGCCAUCUGGACCAGCACUGACACUGAGGCACGAAAGCGUGGGGAGCAAACAGG